GCUGCCGUGUAAUAUCUUACUGUACAACCUGUCAGUUGUUCUCUGCCAUAAAAGCUAACUAAAUGUGUACUUUUCUUUAUCAUCAGAAGGAGUUACAUUCCCAUCUGACAUAUGCUACUAUUGACCAUUUUUACUCUAAGGACCCUCACAAGAUAGGAGCAGGUGAUUCACUGUGGUUCAGCUGUUUUAUUUUAGAAAUGAUCACAUCAAAUAACAGGAUGUGACUCUUUGCUGUUAGGAUUGUGUUCUGUUUGGUGGAUCUGUUUGUGUUUACUCACCUUCCAGAGUCAGAGUGGCAUGGGCGGAGUUUCCCAAUCUAUGCAUCUGUCCAGGAUUCUGCUGAUGAGAGCAGCUGGGAUUUAAGCUCCUGGAAGUGAUCCAUUCCUCGCCGGAUUAUUCAGUCACACUGGUACUGAUUGAGACAGCCAAUAAUUUAUCUUUGAGACUUUUUUGAGUAACCUGGUGAUUUUUGUGUUUUUCUAAGGACCCUGAUUGGAUUGUGGAACUCGUCUUUUGCUGGAGCUUAAGGACCCGUGUAUUUGGAUUCCUCUCCUGGAAACUCUCACCUAGAAACCAACCAUCCACCGUCCUGCCACUCUCUCUCUCUCUUUCUCUCUCUCUCCCCCGCGGACCUGGAACACAAACGGACACCGAAACCUGGAACACUUACCUCCUGGAUUUCCUUUGCCUCCUCCUCCGAGCUGACCUCCCUCCAAAGAGCCUGACGAACCCACUGUUGUGCACUCACAGUAAAUAAACAUCAUUUAACUUUU